GGAUAUGAAGGUGACCUGGCUUCAGCCUCCAUUUCCCACUGAUAACCAAGGGUUAUUCCAUUUGUCUGACCAUCUAGAGGGGACCUCUCCUCCCUCCUUAUCAUGCCAAGAAGGUCCUUUCUGAAGCUGCACUCCCAGUAGAAAAGGUUGACCUUCUCAGAUAAAGGGGACUAUUUCUUGGGAAGGGGAGAAGCGGUGGUUUUGCUCCCUGACACCACAGGGCUUAUGAGAGAACCAUCUCUAUGAAGCUCCGACUGACCGCUCUGUCUG
rnacentral:snRNA from 1 species